ensembl:lncRNA
UUAACCUCGGGGCUAUUUCUCUUCCCUUCCAGCAGGUUUGAGCAUUAGCACCGAGCUGCACUGGGUCACAAGGGAAUGUUGCUGGGAACCAGACAGGGAAAUGGUGGUUGUUUCAGCCUGAUGUCCUGGCUCUUCCCAGCAAUGCCUUGGAGCAUUAACACGCCUUUUCUCUUCCUCAUGCUGGGUCUUGGCAGCUGCUUUGAGGCUGUUCAGGACAGAACUAGUCCAGGCAGUCCAAGGCUGCUGCUUGCAGAGUCUUCCUGACUAAGCCCAGGGGCGUUUUCUGGGCAGCCUUGGCUCCUGUGCCAGUGUUCUCCUUGGCUUCGUCCACCGCUGGGCAGCUGCAAAGCCUUCCUCCUGGGCAGCACGUAGAGCUGCCUCGUGGCCCAGACAUUUCUAAGAACUCUCAUGCACAGAAAUGAGACAUGAGAAAUGCAUUUCAGGAACUGAGCUGCCGUGUAACUCUUUCCUAGUUACCAUGCCACAGAGCGUGGUGUAAACCCAGGGCUAAGAUCCAGCUGCAAACCACUCCUGGAGCUCAGCAGGGAUAAUGCUGAUCCAAGGAGGGUGACGAAGAGCUUUCCCACAGCAGCUGCCUCCAGUGCUUCCUAGGAGCUGCUGCAGGCACAGCUCACAAGCAAUGCUGGGGGAAAAAACAGAAGGGGAGGGCCAGGACUCUUCUCUGCUGCCUGCAUGUGACAUCUCCUGGUACACUUCCCAAAAACAGAGCAGAUGGAUCAGACUCCUUUUUCCCCUGGUUUCACUGGUGGGAAGUAGAAUCACAACAUGGGCAGCCAGGGACCUAGCAUGGACCUGAGCAGCGUGCCUGGCUGGUGGGAUGGCCUUCUUCCACCUGUGUUACAUCUGCUCUUUCUGUGACGUGGUGGGAGGAAACCAAGGGAAGAGGAAGUUGAGAAGCUGCUAGGCUGAGGAGGUUAUGCAGCACUGGAGGCAUUGGGGUGAUUGCUACGAGGCUCUGGUUUGCAGGAGCAAUAGCAUGUACUUGAUGAUGUGCCUACAUGCAAGGUCUAGCCAAGCUUGUGGGGAGCUGUCUGACAGGGGCUGCCUCGUACUCUGUGCAGCAUUCAGACUCUCAGGUCCUGACCUCAACAAAGGUCCUCACCAAGCUUGGAUUUCCAUGAGGCUAAACUUCAUCUGAACUGGAAAAAGGACCUGAGUUAUCCGAGCCGGCAGCUUGGAUAAUUUGCAGCCCUUGUCAGGACGCAGCACUGCAGAACUAAUGGCACAACUGGAGAAUGCAUGACAGCACCACCUGGUAAAUCUUAGGUUGUUCUUGCUUCAAAAGGGAAGAAAGAGUGCCUGCUUGCAUUAGAUAUAUUUUUUUUCCGUCUUUUCUGCCAUAUUCGAAUCUCAUUAAACACCUGGUAACUAAACAGGUGUUUGCUUACGUAUCGCAGUUCACCCCUCUUUGCAAUAAGCUAUGCACAGCAUUUAGUUCUCUUUCACGUCAGAGCCUGCCCUUUCCAACCCAUAAAUCAUUCUCAAAGCUCUUCUCCUGCACCUCCUCUGUGCCCUGUCAGACCCCCGCCUGGAGGCAGGACCCCCGCAGCAGUUUCCCUGCAGGGAGGCAGGAUGAGCCUUGGUGCAGCGAGCUCCCCACGGCCGGAGGAGCUGGGGGGUCCCUGUCUGAGCCUUGUUACUGUGCUUCAGUGUGCUCCCUGCGUCCUUUAGAGAGCUCCCCU